rnacentral:rRNA from 1 species
GACAGAGGAUGCAAGCGUUAUCCGGAAUGAUUGGGCGUAGAGCGUCUGUAGGUGGCUUUUAAGUCCGCCGUCAAAUCCCAGGGCUCAACCCUGGACAGGCGGUGGAAACUACCAAGCUGGAGUACGGUAGGGGCAGAGGGAAUUUCCGGUGGAGCGGUGAAAUGCGUAGAGAUCGGAAAGAACACCCGUGGCGAAGGCGGCUGCUCUGGGAGCGGUACUGACGCUGAGACGCGAAAGCGUGGGAGCAAACAGG